ACGAGUUUAACGACACCGCGAGAAGCAAGCUGACAAUUAUGUCUCCUUUUUCAGGCAUUAAAACGUUUCGUUUGCGAAGCAUCGCCUUUCCGUAUGGCCAAGGGCAGUCACCGUUCGCUUGUGCCGUUUGAAUGAUAAUCAACUGUCUUUGUCUUGUUCGUUCUUCGCGCCAUUACAAUAGCGAGUGGUGGGGAUAGGGCACAGUCACGCGACCUACGGGUGCGUUUCCAUUAAUUCUCUGCGAACGUUGUCCUCACGAGUCCUGAAUUUCGCGUUCGCCUUAAGCAAAAUCGACUAGUAGUUCGUACUCUUUUCUCCAAUUACUUCUCGCCCGUGUUAAGAGUUCGUAAAUCGCUCGCGAUCUAUCGAGCCUGAGAAUCGAAUUCGUUUCUUUGCACGCUCUGGCGAGCACAAGAACGUAGUCAAGGUGUUGCUUCAUACAUAUGUGAAAAAAAAGAAACAUAUGUGGGUUCAGAGUGAUUUUAUAAUCUUGAUUGAUUUGCGAGCUCGAACGAUAUGAUGGAUCGUUCAAUCGUGUUAUGGAGAUAUUGACGAGGAAUGGAGGUUAAAUGAAAUGAUAAUUUUCAUAAAGAGUUCGUGGAAAGCAUAUUAAUCGCACAUGAUUAAAGCAGUGAAUAUAUUAAUUACGAACGAUAUCGAGUCGAAUCCAUUAUACUUUCAACUGAGUUAAGUGAAAACAAGAUAUAAAAGUUCGAAAGUGCAUCGUUUUUCAUAAAUCAUAAUUCAAUAUUCGUAGAAGAACGAGAAAGUUCCCUUCUUUUUCAUUACAUUGAUCGCAUCUUAUAAACUUCUGUUGUUUGCAACUAGUUCAUCGGUGCAACCUGUAAUCGCAGGAUCGUGUGUGCUCAUUUGCCUUGAAGGAAUACGUGCGCUACCAAUUAAAUCAGGCUAAACUGAAGUCGGUUCUAAGAUAAUAUCAAAAUGACUUCUCUGCGCAUUAACUAGCUCGAUGAACACGAUGAAUGAAGCAUAAAUCAAAGUGAAACGAAGAGAAAUAGAUUAUCGGAAGUCGAAGACUGACUAUUGAUUUCUGGGGAGACCAGGAAGUUUAUUCAUGGAAGAACAAGAAGCUUCUUCUUCGUUUAUGUUUAUCCUUCAGUUCCACAAAUAUUUCAUAGUAAAUAAUUCAACGUAACUCGCACAACAUGCAAUCUCAAUCAUAUUUAUGAUCACGCGAGCGAAUCGAAACGUAGAAAUUAUCAUGUUCGUGGUAUCGUAUUGAAAGUCCAAAGAAAAGAGAAGAGCUCCUAUUUCCAAGAGAUAGUUCGUCGGUUAAUCGAGCGUGCGCUCGAAUUCAACUCGACAUGACAUAACGAUUCGCCGCCAAUUGAUUAAACUUAACGACGAUUAAGAGAAGGCAAAAUGUUGACAUAAAUUUCUAUUAAAGGGUCAUGGGACCGUGUGUAACUGCUGUCGCCAAGAAGCAUCCCUGUUGGAUUAUAUUCACUUUAAGGAACAAAAAGAAAAGCAUAUCAAAGAUGAUACAACGGAAACGAGUCCAAUAUUAUAGAAAAAAGUUUAGAGGAAGGAAAGACACGAUUGCAAGCUCGGAUUUUUUUCAAGGACGUUGCAAGUCGAACGAUACUGGUGUGUUUCGAUCUUCAAGAGAUAGGUACUUACGUACAUACGUACAAUAAUUCCCUAUAUCCAAGUUAUGCAUGCGGUUUACCUUGUGACAUCUCUUGGCUGCAGCCACGCGCCUUUCUAAUGCGAAUCUCGAACACGACGUAACUGCCUCGACUUAUCUAUCUACAGGGUGUUCCAAACGUAACCUUUCAAAUUUUUCGUGAUAAAUUUAUCAUUUCUUAUCAUAUUAUAAUCUGACAUUUAUUAAAUA